rnacentral:rRNA from 1 species
UACGGAGGGUGCAAGCAUUAAUCGGAUUUAUUGGGCGUAAAGGGCGCGUAGGCGGACGUAUAAGUCAGAUGUGAAAUCCCGGGGCUCAACCCCGGAACAGCAUUUGAAACUGUAUGUCUAGAGGGUAGGCGGAGAAAACGGAAUUCCACAAGUAGCGGUGGAAUGCGUAGAUAUGUGGAAGAACACCGGUGGCGAAGGCGGUUUUCUAGCUUACUCCUGACGCUGAGGCGCGAAAGCUAGGGGAGCAAACAGG